rnacentral:lncRNA from 1 species
AGCUCUCCAUGCUGGCUGUGUGGCCAGCAUACCUCCUGCCUUUUCAACGAUUCCUCUGCCCUGGAUAGAGAGCGGUGUCUCAUAACAGUUUGGAAACUACAAAAGUUUCCCUGGCAGGAUGAAUGAUUGACUCGGCAACAUGUUCUUGCCUUUUGGAGUUGCCCUCCAAUUUUUCCAGGCUUGAUUCUGUAAAUCAUUUCAUCUUGUAAAAAUACUGGGCUGUGAGCACGGAUGAUCUCAAAGAUGAGGAAACAGAAGCUGGGAUAUGUGAGUAAACAUUUCCAAGGUCCUGCAGCUAAUCAAUGGUUGACAACUUCUUUCCUCUGCCUAUGUUGCCAUCCAUGUCAUGGUUUGUGUCAAGACUCUAGGAGAAGUCUACCAUCAGCACCACAGCUACUGUGCACAAAUCCAGAAUGCCAGACUGAAGUCAGAAGGAAAGAUCCUUUAUAUAUUGAAAGAAGAAAGUAGAACCAUUUCUGGGUCCCAGCUGUGGGAAGAGCUCCUGUGGCUGUGAAUUCUGACUUCUGGGUCUUGGCACAAGGUGUGGCCAGCAAGCUAAGCUGUCCUGAGGGUGUGCAGGGCCAGGGGCUGAAGACAGUGUUGGAGCAUCCACAGACUGGUUUGUCUCAAGAAGCAUGUUACUAAAUAUGAAAUAGCAAAAUCUGCAAGUGGGUUUACUUUUCCCCCAUAGAUUAGAAUGGAUUCAAUAUUAUCUCUUUAUUAGCGUCACUUUUAAUCACUUGUAUAACAAGUAGGACAGAAAGGUGGCUUGAAAGUCAAUCAUGUGAGAAUUCCAGAUAAAUUGACUUUGCUCACAACAAUCUGUUAUUCAUGUGACUAUCAACUGUCAUGUGUGCUGGGGCAAAAAAAGAAGAUAAGGAUUCACUGGUAUCAGAUAGUUCCAGGAGGGGAAACCCAGGAUUGAACUUUUUCAGCCUUCUAUGGUAAAAUUUCCUGCUCUGUCGGUGCGCCAAAGCUUUUUUCAGUUUCCUAAACUCCCAUAUUCAAGAAGAUAAGCUAUUUUCUCUUCUUUCUCAUCCUUCCUUGACAAAGCAAAGCAUAUUUUCAUUGUCUACUCUGUGUCAUCCAUGCUUGGUUCCUGUCCUCAAAGAGCUUAUAGUUCAAAUAAAGGAGAGGGAGCAUUUUACAAGGGAAUUAAAGGUAAAAGAUUCUGAAAGCCAGUUUAAAAAGUCGUGAGGGAGGGGUCUGGGAGAAGCUGAGCAGGGGUGAAAGGGUACGAAACAUUAUGGAAGGAGAACAGGGGAGCACCCUGACUACUGGGUGGAAACACCAAUCAGUGGGUAGAAACCACACAGUGGUAACACUGAUCAGUGGGUAGAAAACAAUGACAGCAGGUAUAUGAGGCAUGGAACACUUGGCUUAUUGUAAAGUUUUCAAAAUAUGCAGUCCUUUCUAUCCACCAGGGGUUGGGAGUUGUCUUUGUAUAUCAACCGUGGAAGGGCUGUUUUGGUUCAUCAUUCUGUGGUCUACCUGGGUAGACCUGAUGCAGCCGUGUUUCUGAGGAAAGGAAGAACAGCUUUUGUUUUGUGAUAUGUAAUGGUAGAUGUAGUGCCAUGGAAUGAUGCAGAUUUCAUUCAGAUAUUCUUGGAUCUUGGCCCCAGGACUCACUCAUUCUUCCCUAUAUGAGCAUUGGUAGUUACAGGUUUUAUCCUUCCUUUAAUUGUAAGUCUUUUGAAGCCAAAAACUGUAUCCAAUUUGUCACUGUCUCCUAACAGUACUUAGCAGUGUCUGAUGCAUCAUAGGGAGUUUGUAAAUGUUUGGAUAAAUAAAGGGAAAACAAAAACAACCACAAAAAAACCUUUAUUUUGCUUUAAUAAAAAUAUUUUAACUAGUUUCCACUGGCAUAUAUAUCCACAUGGUAGAUAUAUUCUAAGAAACAGUCUCUUCAAAUGAUGGCUUCAAUAAUGGAUGAAAAAUAAAUUUCCUAAUGAAUUAUUUUACAGAAAGCACCACACACACACCCCCAACAUCAAUAAAAAAUUCAUUUGUGAUUUUAAGAACUAUAGGAUAAUAAUAGGUAAUCCAUGUGAAGUUAUGACAGCUUGUAAGGCCAGGGAGGGCACGAGGAGAUGAAACACACAGAUCAUCUUCAAACCACAGAAGCUCAGACUUCUCUUGCUCUGAAAGUUGACGAUCAGUGAAAAGCCCACUGAUAGCUGAGUUUUACCUCCUCUUCUUCUGUAUAAUCCCUUUUUUGGUGAAAGCAGAGAUGUCAUGGACAAUGUAGGAUUUCAUCAAAUCUGAGAGGCCAUUGAUUAUAGGACGGCAUUGUUUUAGGUAUCACUAAGAAAGAAAAAAGCCUUGCCAAGUAAACUCCCCAAAUUCAGAGACAUUCAAAUGUUGAAAAAUAACUGUUUCAGAAUCUAUGAAAUACAGACAAUUCUCCCUAAUGCUUGGCCCAGGGCUUUGCAUACCAUAGGUGGUCAAUAAGCAUUUGUUGACUGAGUGAAUAAUGUUGACAAGCAGAAAUGCCUGGUUUAUAAUGCCUAGAGCCCAUCACUGAGAACAGUGGGCUAGAUCCCUUCUUGAUGUUUUAAGUAAUCGCUGAGAGAAUGGGUGGGCGAUUGCUCUUCUGAUUGCUAAGAACAAAACAAAACACAAAACUGAUAAAAAGCAGAGUUGCAGAACUGCAUCCUGUUGAUGUACUGCCAGAGGAGUCAGGCCUGGAGUACUGUUCACUAAGAAAUAGUGACUUUUGCAUCCUCGACGUCCCAGUCAUACACGGGCUUUUCUCUGAAUAAUCAAAGAAGGGAUUAUUUUGUGUAAGAAUGGACAAAUGAGUGUGUGAGUUUGUGUACGGUAAGGAAGGCAGGUAGAUAGAAAUACAUAAAAGAGUAAAAAAUUUCUUAAAAAAGCUCACUGGGUUUAACACAUGCAUCAUUCACACAUCAGAAACCAAUAUACACUUGCGACUCUGUACCCACAGAACUCAGAACUGCAGCUUGCAACUCCAUGUCUCCGCACAGUGAUAAAUAUGGGCAAUAUUAAUGUCAUCUUCUAAGCCCCCAAAAAUAUAGCUGACUCUGUUCAACAGAGCUGGUCAGACUGCGGCAGAUAAAUCAUAUUCAGAUCAGAACUCCAUGUACACAUAAUCUUUGGGGCAUUUGCAAAGUCUAGGGGCAUGCAGUGACAGAUCUGGAUUAUUGAUAUCACUCUGUAGCCUGUCCUCCUUGAGUUUUUUUUUCCUACCAGUAAUAAGGAUGGAUUCUCUGACACUGACCUCCUUAUAAAUUGGCUUCUAGUUCAUCUUUCCAGAGGUGCCACCAGAGAACCAAGAAGCAAUUUCAAUUAAGAGUACAAUUAGGGAACAUACCUUUUGAAAUAUUAUUUUUUAGUUUUUACUCAUUUUCAAUAGUGGUUGUGCAAGACCCUCUUAAGACCAUUUCAAUUUUCAGGAGGUUACUGCAAGAGUCUCACUGGGCUUAUCUGACUGUGUUAAACAAGGGCAGAGCUUAAGAGUUUGAUCACUGCUAGGCUCUUUAACAGGAGGAUCUGUACCGGAUCCCUGUGGGUAUUUCUGUGGGACCUGGCACAGGUUUUUGAACCUAGUAUCUGCUCAACUGAAAUGUAUUAAGUAAAUGAAUAAUGAAUAAAUGAUGCUAAGAAGCACAAGCCUCUUGGUACCACUGUAGCAAUUAAAGACUUUUAGAGUAUAUAAAUUUUUCUUCCUAAAAUGCAUUCUGAGGAGAGUAGAUAGGUAUUAAUGCAAGAAAACGAACACGAGUCCAAAAAAAUUGUUGAGCAUUAGUGGAUUCAGCAAGGAUUUUUAAUCUCUUUUUCUUAGAUUCCCCUGAAAGAAUUUUGAAACUAUGGACCCUGUCACACUUUUAAGUUAGCAUCUAAAUUUUUUAAAUCACAAGUUGUAACAGUUACAAAGGACGCAAUUUCUGGCAUGUUUGACAGUUAUGAAGGACGCAAUUUCUGGCACAUUUCUACUGUUAUAUCACUCUUUUAUUUAUUUUUUUUAUUUUUUGAGAUGAAGUCUUGUUCUGUCACCCGGGCUGGAGUGCAGUGGUGCAAUCUCGACUCACUGCAACUUCCGCCUCCUGGAUUCAAGCAAUUCUCCCACCUCAGCCUCCUGAGUAGCUGGGAUUACAGGCAUGCACCACCACACCCAGCUAAUUUUUUUGUAUUUUUAGUAGAGCUGGGGUUUCGCCAUAUUGUCCAGGCUGUUCUCGAACUCCUGGCCUUAAGUGAGCUGCCCGCCCAAAGUGCUGGGAUUACAGGCUUGAGCCAUCACGCCUGGUCUAUAUUACUCUUUUAAAUGUAUCCACAGAACCUAAGUAUCAUAACAAUUUGAUGCCUAUCUCACUAUUUUAAAAAAAAUAUAGAAACAAGCUCUUGAAAUUUUACAUUUCUUUAUCUCUAUAAAUGCAUUCUUUAUAUUCUACUUUCUCCAUAUGGUUUUAUCUUAAUGAAAUGUAUUGUCAUACUUAAAAGACUUUUCUUGAACAUUUUACUUCUCUGCAACGAAAAUAUGUAUCAAAUUUGAAAUUAAUAGUUUUAUUCAUUGUGCCCUUAAUCUUUUGUAUUAAAAAUUCUACCACUGAUAUUUAACAAACAACAAUAUAAACUUUAAUAAAAUUAUUAAGCAUGAAAAGUAAAAGUACUGGAUAUUUAUCUCUUAAUGAGGUGGAAGAGGCUGUUUGUUAAAAUCGGAAUUCAAACAAGGUUCACACAUGGCAAUUUGUUGGUAUGUCUCUUAAAUCUCUUAGCCUUUCUUAGUCUUUAAAUAUCUCCCCUACAGCUUCCUUCUCAAUUUAUUAAAAAUAUCAGGGCCUUUUUCCCUGUAUUUCCCAGUAAAUUAUUAGUUAAAGCUAGAAGCAUGAUCAGACUCAGGUUCACCUUUCUGGUGAAAUAUUUUAGGCAAUAAUGCUACCUUUGCAUACCUUUCUUAACCUUUCAAAUUUAAGUCUGUAUCUGCCUUUCAAUCCAGUCUCCACACUCCCUUGCCCAAAAAUCUCUGGCACUGGAAAAGUGAGGCAACACAGUUAAGGCCAAGGCUAUCAAGCACUCAGAUUAUUCCAGAUUGAAAGUUUGGUCAUCCCAUCAGGUAAGAGCCUACCUGGCUGAGUUGCUGGCAGUGGGUAGAGACAACAUAGGAAGGGUGGGGAGAAGGCAGCUGUGAUGACCAAGUUGGGCUUCCUGACCAGUUACAGAAGUGGGAACUGAAGUAGGGUCCUCAACUCUACUUCUCUUUGUGUAUUUCCCCAAGUCUGAGAAAAGUACAGAUGCAGAGAGGACCUUCAGUAGGAUCAGAAGUAGUGGCCAUUGCCAUCCUAGGUCUCAGAGAAGGGCAAUACUGUUUGGGGGUGUGGAGGAAGGCAUAUAAAACAUACCUAGGGUGGCCAUGGGCUUGUCUACUUCAGUCUCCUCUGCAGCUGGAGUUACAGGCAUGACUGUUGUCCUAAAUGCACACAUCUCCCGAAACGAGCAUUAAGUCUCUCAGACAGGACUACCCAAACUCUUUAGGAAGAGCAGAAACAUUUCCUAUGCUGUAAUUGAAUAGAUACAGCUAUCUCCAUGAAUUCCAUGUCAUGUUGCUUGGUUCUUUCCUCUACAUUCUUCUCUCCACAUAUUCUUUCUCCUCUUUGGGAUUUGGAUGGACAUUCCCUUAGUUUUCAAGAGAAAAAGCUGAAGAUUACUAUUUGAAUAAGGCUUGAUUAUGUUCUUAGCCAAGGGUCCUUGAUCUCAUUUUCUUUUCUGGGAGAGAAGGAAAAGGGCUUGUUCUUCCUUAUAAAGCUUGGAAAUCCAUUAUCCAAAUUGCACAAGAGAUCAUAUCAAUGUGUAGCUAGCUGUACCAACUAAAUAUAUGUUUCAAGUAUUUGGAGAAAGUGUUUUGUGACAAGAGGGAGGUAAAAAAUAAAAAGUGGGAAGAAAGAAAGGUCAUAAAGGGAGUGAGAAAUGAAACAGAAGAAGUUUGUGGCAUAACCAGCAGAUGAUUACUAUUCUUAGCUCCACUUCCAUACUGAUAUUGAAAUGACUUCUUAUUUCCGACCUCAUGGGAAAGACUAUUUUCUGGGGCAUCACUAGACUGCUGCUCUGGCUUUUCCAGCAACCUGUUUACAUUGAGGACAGACAUUCAGGAGAGCCAGCUGAGGGUUCUAAUUUAAAGUGCUCAACAUUAGCUUUCCAAUGCUGAUUGCAAUUAUUCACCCUACUUGACCUCACUGCCUGAUAGGAAAUUACUCUUUGGAGUAAUAAGAGUAAUAUUUCAUGCUUAUUUCAUGAUAAGAAAUCACCCUUUGGAGUAAUAUGCAUCCUGUUUAAUAAUGCAAGCACUCUGAAAAAAGCAUUGAGUUAAAGUCUCAUAGCUCUCCAUGCCUUUCCUCCUAUUAGAAGGUGAGUACAGGUACCAGAGGGGCGGAGAGGUGGAGGGUUUAGAGAGGGACAAUUUGGGGUAUGGGCCACUUCCAGAGAGGCAGUGUCAGGAUUGGGCCCAUUGUGGGUUUUGUCAGAGCAUGAGAGCCCUUGCUGGAGUAAUUUUAUGAGCUAAUGAAGUAAAAUCAAUAAACCGAGAAUGUGGUAAAAUGUCAAAAAAUUGAGGAGAUUGAAGUAUAAUACCCCAAUAUUUUUCCAGUAUAACAAACACUGUUAUUUCAUAAAAGAGAGGACAUUUCUUGCCCUUUUUUCUUGCCGUUGGUGAUAUUAAAAAGUAAAAAAGUGAGUCUCAAUUGCUUAAACCUGGGAGGCGGAUGUUACAGUGAGCUGAGAUUGCACCACUGCACUCCAGCCUGGGCAACAGAGUGAGACUCCAUCUCAAAAAAAAAAAAAAAAAAAGUGUGAGUCUGUGGUCUUUGAAUAAAUGGCCUUUUUUCCCAAGAAAGAACAUUCAUAAAUUUAUAAUCAUACACACAUACUAUAUACAUACACAUAUAAGAUAUAUCUAAUAUCAUUGCCCUUAUUUUUCUGGGUCCAUAAAAGCUUUGUUAUAAACCUGCAUUUGGAAGCAAGUGGCUUAGAAAAUACAGUUAUCAGGUCAAGAGAUGGAGACCAGCCUGGCCAACAUGGUGAAACCCUGUCUCUACUAAAAAUACAAAAAUUAGCUGGGCAUGGUGGCGUGUGCCUGUAAUCCCAGUUACUGGGGAGGCUGAGGCAGGAGAAUCGCUUGAGCCUGGGAGGCCGAGGUUGCAGUGAGCUGAGAUCACACCACUGCACUCCAGCCUGGCAACAGAGCAAGACUCCAUCUCAAAAAAAAAAAAAAAGAAAAAAAAGAAAAGAAAAUACAGUUAUCACUUAUAAAGAGUUUCUGAAUAUAUCAUGUAACAUGAUUUAUAAAUAUGUCAGAAUUAUGCAUAUGAAAUACAUAUCAUAUGUAGUAAUUAAGUACUGUCUACCAAGAGUUUCCUUUGUAAAAUCACUCUAGUCUUUUAAUAUGGAAAUACUAUAGUAUGUGUUGUUAUAAAUCAUAAAAGCAUGGUUUAUUGUUCAACAAGAGCUUAUAAUGUAAUAGCAGUUAUAUUAUCUCCUUACUCUUUGGUGGAACAUAUAGACUGAUAUGAUAAUCCUAUGCAGCCAGACCUGAUUGAUGUGGCAGUCAUUAUUGUAGCAAAGUGAGGUUAAAGCUUUAAAGCUAAGUAAGGGAGCAAAAGUAACUGCAAACUAUAUUGCACUUGAGCUCACUAUGAAACCAAGUGCAGUUCCUGCACAAGGAGAUUGUUAUGUGGAUUGAAUGCAUGCAUUCCACCUCCUUCUGUUAUUUUUCAGGGGUUCCUUUUCUGAGCCAGUACUCCUAGCUUGAAUAUCACCUAACCCAGAGAGUGGUAGCUAGCCCUUUCUUUGUGUCCUUUCCUCCUGCCUUGACCAUGAAGGAGGAAGGUUCAUAUCUUGGCCAUUAGAAAGUUAAUUGCUCCAUUGUCCAUCAGCUGAGCCCCAGGUGGUGAUUAUGAAUGAUGCCAGAGAAUGGGAUAAGGCAAACCUCAACCAGGGAGCUAAGAAAGCUUGAGAUGGUAUAAUGAAGAGUGUUCUGUUGACCUAAUCAAUUGAUUCCUUCUAUUAACCAUUAUUUUGGGCCCUUACUUUAUGCCAGGAACUCUGCUAGGCACAGGGAAUAUGGAGAAGUAUCAGGCCCCUUAAAGAAUUCAUAAUUUAGGAAAGGGAAUGUAUAAGAUGAAUAAUGUAACACUGUCUGAUAGGGGAUGAGCAACUUAGCAUAAAGGGAGGAGAGGGAAGAUGAUCAGGGAAAGCUUUAUUCAUUUAUUCAACAGUAUUUUUUGGGUGCCUAUUGCUGUCCUAGGACUUAUUCAAGGCACUGGGGCUACAGCAGUGAGAAUAAGACAGGUUAGGUUUUUUUGUUUCUUUGUUUGUUCCUCUCACGAAGCUUACAUUGUAGAGGAGGGAGACAGGCAAAAUGCAACAAGAUGCUUGACUUGCAUCUUCUUACUGGCACUUCAGCUUGAGAAAAGAGGAAGUUCAAAGAGGACAGAGCUUGAGGCGGCAGGGCCAGGUGGAGAGACUAAGAACUUGGUGAAGCCCAGUAAUCAUUUGAGAGUUUCGUUCCAAGUACAGAACCUAAAUCAAACUGGCUUAAGUAAAAGGGAAACGUCUGGCUCAUGGAAUUUAGUAUUCUAGAGAGUAGCUGGCUUUGGGCUCAGCUUGCGGUAAGAGUUAAGAUGGUAUCAAAGAGACCCUGUGUCUCUCCACCUCUUCAUCUCAGCUCUGAUCUGGCCCAUAGUGGCCUCAUUCUCUAGACAACUAUGGAUAACUCCCACCUCAUGUCCUUAGCUCUGGGAGCUCUGGUGGAGAAGAGAGAAUCUUACUUCUCUCUUGAUGGUAUAAGCAAGUCUUUUCCAGCACAUGGCUCUGAGGGAUCACACGCCCAGCUCUUACGUGGAAUGGGAUGCUCUAAUGGGCCAGUCCUGAGUCACAUGCCUUCUGCUGGAGCCAAGAGUAUCUCUCCAGGAGAAAAUCCGUGCGUACCCAAAGAAGAGUGAAUGCAUGAAAGUAGCCAAAAAGUCAUCCCCAGCAUAGCAGCUUCAUAAACAGUUCCCUGGGUGUUAGGCUGCGUGUCAGAAUAGAAUAUAAUAAGUACAGCCAAGGUUAAAAGGCAGAUGAGUGCCACCCAAGGAAGAGACCAGUGCAUGAUUAGAGGCUGCUAGCUGAGCAAACACACACCAGCCUCCUUGGUUCUCCUGCAUUCAGUUCUCUUACAGCAAGAGAGUAGAGACAGUGUGCAUGAGAUCCAGCUGGCAGUGCAUUGCCCCUAGGGCCAUCGAUCCACCCUGCAGCAAAAGUGGGUGAUGUGGCUACAUGCACCCCACUUUGUGGAGAAUAGAAGGACCCCUCCCCUUCCCCCAUGGGGGUCUGAAUUGCAGAAAAGGGGUGGCGGGGGGCAGGUGAGGGGACAUGCCUGAGGGCCAUCCAUGCCUGCGCCUAAGCAGUACUCAUUGAGUUUGAAAUAGAGGAAGAUUCCUGCACAAGGUGAUGAGCCCAGCACAGGCUAUGAGGGCCCCUACCUCUUGGUAAGGAAGAGCUCUAGGCCCAAGGCCCAUUUUUAUGUGGCCAAGCAGAAUCACAAAACUGCCCACACUAGACUGCCUUUCCCAAUACCAGGCUGCUUUUCCAGGAGUAGAAGGCUUUAUGUUGCAAAAUAAGGAAUUUGGGCAUUAUUAUAUGGGGAAUGGGGCAGCUCAGCGAGGUUGGAGAACAGAGUGGUUACAUCAAGCAGUCUUGAACCAGGCUACCUGGGGUGGAAUCCAAACUCUGCUACUUAGUGCCAUGUGACUUUAGGCAAGUUAUUUUCCUUCUCUGUGCCUCAGUCUUCUCAUCUAUGAAACGAAGGUGAUAGCAACAAGUCCCAGUGAAUAGGUAUUUUAUGAGGAUUCAAUGAGAUAAUAUAUGCGAAGUGCUUAGAAUAGUGACUGAUCCCUUUAAGGUUGCUGUUCUAUUGGAGGGGAUUUAAGGACCAAAUAAAAUGAUAGACCACAGAACUAGCUGGUGGCAGUUCUGUGACCUUGGUGAGCCAUUGCUUGUUUCUGAGCCUCAGUCUCUUCCUCGACAAAAUAUGGAGGUCAAAUUAGACACUGUCUGAGAUCUCCUUGCUCUGAUGAUCUUUAGCUGUAGUUGCAAUGUGGCAACGGACUUGUGUUUGAACUUUAAAAUGAGCCUUGGUGCCUUGCCCUGCCCUUUCAAAGAAAGGGUACUGACAGCUCAAAAGGAACCAAAGUUCUUUAAACAAAAGAGCUCACCUGACUGUCCAAGGUAAUCCAGAGAACUCUCAUGAAAAGCCGCCUUCCAAUGCUAGGAGCAAAUGCCCACUUUUCUCUAAGAAACAGAUGAGAGCAAGGAUGUCUGAUGGUUUUUGAGUUUACACAAACCGGGUCCCCCCCACUCCUACAAUCUUUUGAGCAUCUCGAGCCAAAUGAAUUCUUGAUGUCAGCAAAAUUUUACCUAUGUUAUGCAAAAGCCAUCACCAGAAACACAGAGAAAAAGACAUAAAUAAUGCAAAUUGAGCAUCCAUCUUAGCCUUGGCCAGAUGAAGUGGGGGUGGGGGCUGCAAUUAGCAAGUUGGGGCCCAAAAAUGAUCAUUGUGCUGCAUAAUCUAUGGGAGGAAUCUUGUUAGACCUGCACAUUUGCAAGACAGAAAUAUCGUGCUUGAUGAAAGAGAAGGACAAAUACAAAUUGUGAGGGACUGUGAAACAAGGUAGGAGGAGACAUAAACAGAGACGCAGAGAACGGCCAGAGAGAGGAUGCACUCACAAAAGAUGGGAGACAAUGGAAGCCCUGCCCUUGAAGUCCUUGCCAUGGCGUCUUGAUCAAGCUGUUGAUUCUAUUUGAGCCUAAAUUACAAAGGACUGUGAAUUAUAUGUGGAAAAUUGUCUGGGUGCAUCCCUUAGCAGAUGGGAAAACUGUGAUGGCAAAUGAAAUUAGCAGGCUGCCUUGUGGAACGAGCUCCUGCACGUGUUCAGAGUCUGCAUGGGGUACAAAUGCCAGGAUCAUCAGGAACAAAAUAGCCAUUAAAAAAAAAAAACACCCUUUUUCUUUUCUCAAGAUUUAAGAGGCCGAUUCCCUUUUUCCAAGAAAUUGCCAACUGGUUUUAAUUCUUGGAGAUUUGGCGAGGAGUAGGUGUGAGAGGAGGCUGGGAGACUUCUCCGCUUCCUCACUGCCCAACCUGGUCACCCUGAAUUUCAUGAUCAUCUCCAGGGACUUCAGCACUGGGCACAGAGACAACAGCAGAAAGGAACAGAAAGUCAGCUGUCGCAGGAGUGAAGCCUGCUCCUCUCCUUCAGGGGGCAAUGCUGGCCAAAAUUAGUGGUUUCUGCUGAAAUCACAGUAUGAAACUACACUUCCUUAGAGAAGGAAGCGUAGGAAUUCUCUGUUCCACUUGAGGAACAGAAAAUGAGCUUAGGGAGCUCCCAGCAGCCAGCACAGCAAAAACCUAAAGAGAAUGAUACUCACCAAACAGCAUGGGGAGGCAGAUGGGGAACUCUCAACAAUCACCCAUCUCUGAUCAGUAGCCUUCUGCUCUGCCAACUAGGGUUUCCACAAAGUCUAGAAUUUUUUGGACACAGUUUCACUAGACUUAUAUCCUAAAGUGUGUUAAAAGCCAGCAGAUAGAAAUUCAACAUCAUCAUAAUUAUUAAAAUAAACAUAAUAAUGAUAACAACUCUAACUGCGAUCAUCAAUACACAAGCACGAUGAGAGUUAUUACUUUCUUAAUGCUUACCAUGUGCCCAAUACUAUGUUAAGUACUUUAUAUGCAUUUUCUUAUUUAAUUCUCAAGACUUUGAGGUGGAUACCUUUAUUAGUUCCUCAUAAAAAGUGAUGAAACUGUGGUGCAAAGAAGAGAAAUGACUUUCAAAUGUCGUUGUGGUAGAUUGAUUGCAAGGUGGCCAUAAUUCUUCAUUAAUCCUGGCAUCCACACUCUGCAAUGUGACUUCACAGCUUUUGACUGUUCUUAUGGCUUCCGUUUGGACAAUAGAACGAGGCUUUGCUGACAGUGUCCUAGUUCUGAGCCUAGGUCUCAAGAGACCUCCUACUCUUCUGCUUUUUCUCUUGGAAAUUUCUGGGCUGCCAGGUGUACAAGCCUGGACUAGCCUGUUGAAGGAUGAGAGACCACGUGGAGCCCAUAAGCCAUUCUAGCAGAGACCAUUCUAGACCAGCCAGCUUCCUGAAGACAUAUGAGAAAGUCCAGAUGAACUCAGAUGAGCCUGGCCCAGAUUGGAAGAACCAUCAAACUGAUUGCUGACCCAUGAGCAAUAAUGGAUAGUUGUUUUAAGCUACCAAAGUUUGGGGUGCGCAUUACACAGUAACAAAUAACUGAAACAAUGGCCCAGGUAAUACUAUUACUCUAAAUUAGGUUUCCUUACUCCAAAGCCCUUUGCCUUUAACCUCUAGUCGCUAGUGACACACUCUCAUGCACUCCACCUUGUUUACCAACACCAUCUGCUCUAAUUUGGUCUUUCUCUUUCCAGUAGGUUCUGGUAGCAUCAAUUACUGUUUGCCUAUGAUAUUCAUUUGCUAGCAGAACCCCAUGAGACAUGGAGAGAGAUCCCUAUUCCAACUCUAAGGGCAAAUCUUGAUUUUAAAAGCCAGCAAUGGUGGCUGCAAUCCCUUCAAGGACCAUUAAUCAGGGGUGAAUAUGUGACCCCUUUCUGACUAUGAGAUAGGCCCACACGCCAACUGGGGACAUCUGGGAAAGGUUUCCUCUAAGGACAGAAACACCAGAAAAUACAGCUUUUUAGAUUUUGUAUGCUGCCCACCAUCUUGCAACAAUAAGGGGCCCUGACUGAGGCUGAAGCUAAGCUGAGACAGGCACAGCACAGACAUGGGAGAAACAUGGAACCCUGAUGAGAUCACCAGGACAGAGGUUGAAUCAAGCCUGGGAUUCACACUACUCUUCUUUUGAACUUUCGCUUCUGUUAAGUCAUUUGAAUCUUUCUGUUUUUUCACUUGCAGACGAAAGCAUCCUAAUGGUUAGAGUUCCCAUCAUCGGUUAAAGGGAACCCAGCCACUUGCUUGUCCUUUAUUUUCUACAAAAACCAAAACCAAAGUGCACACAGAAGCUUAUUCCCUGGAGGCAGGCCCCAACUUCUGGGAGCCCCGUGCUUAAGACAUGUCUUGGCGCCUUUUGGUUGACUACGGCAGUAAGCAGCUGCCUCGAGCCUCAGAGCAGGAUGACUGCAGGAUGGGAGUAAAGGGCGAGAAGUUUUGAGAAGUGCUAGGACCAUGAUUGACGUGUGGUCAGAGAUCCAAGGAAGCAAAAAUGUUCCAGCAGUGUGUGUUCUCAGAGGCAAUCUCUCUUUUGGUUGGUCCCAACUUUUUCUCCCCAUUCCUGGACUCCCAGGAAGCAUGUGGUAUGUGUCUUUAUUUAGGGGUGACACUCAAAGUAUUUAAGUACUGUUAUGGCACAGAUGUGGACCAAUUAAAACAGAUGGCUACUGUGGUGCUGGAGAGGGGCUUAGAGACUUAAGUUUUUGGGUCAUGGGCAAGUGCACAUGUAGUCAGAGGGGAGUCAUCCUGGAGAAGGGGUCAGGGCAGAAAGUGUAGAAGAUGGUGGAUGGAUCCUGGGCAGUCAGGAGGGCAUUUACCAACGAGUCUGGACUUAUCUUCCAAAAUGUAACACAAAUGUUAACAACUUAUUCAGCCACAUUGGGGCAUACCAGGCAGGAAUCUAUUAGAAUGCAUACCAUAUUCUCUAUGUUUGUCUGUUCUGCCAGCCUGUGUACUUAGGCCAGGGGCAUUGUGAUGCUGACAUAUUAACACAUCUCUGGCACCUAGCCCUAUCUGCAGCACAUAAGCCAUCCCAGAACAGCUGCAUUUACUUUUUAAUAAAUUAAAUUGAACAGAAUUGACAAUUUAAACAUUGAGACCCAUCCAUGUUGUCUAGUCCAGAUUCCAAACAUAGAGGAAUCUGACUGGUCAUGCCAUUUCCCUUUGAAACAAUUAUUUUUUUGGAGCAGGGUUAUGGAGAGUUAAGGUGACCUCUGAUGUUCCGACCUCUUUCACCCUGAGAUAUCGCAAGAUUCAACUGUCUCAUUGGGAAGAGCAGAUGGUGGAGGGAACUGGGGUAGAGCAGCCCAUGGCCAGCCUCCAUCACCCUCAGUGAUCCAACACUUCUCAUUUGACUGAGAAAAGGGCAUAAAACCCUGCCCCUCGCAAGUCUUGCCCUGAAAAACUCCCCAAAACAAGCCAGGAGUCCAGGACUUGCACACUGUGUAAAUCUCAAAAGUACCCCUGUGUACUAUUCAUCUUUCUUUCCCUGAACACCAAGCAGUGUCUGACCCAUGGCAGGGACUCUGGGACCAUCUGCUGAGAGCUCAAGUGAGUGAAUGAAUCAAUGAAUGAAUGAAUAAAUGAAUGAAUGGGGUGCCCUCCCUUGCAAGCAGUUUUGGUGUAGAGAACAUGAAAUAAACUUUGGAGUCAUAUUAAUUUGGGUUCAAAUCCAGGUUUUGUCAUUUACUGGCUAUUGACUUUGGGCAAACUCCUCAACUUCUGUAAAUGUGUUUCUCAUAUGCAAAUAGAUGUAAUAAAAUCAAUGUCAAGGGCUCACAAUGCCUGUAAAGUGCUUAGUAUAACACCUCUAAAUGCUCAAUAAAUUGUAACUACUUCUCUCUUCACUUUCUUCUUUUUCUUUAUUUCAUCUUUUGAGUUUUAACAUUAUUAGUAGUAGUAUUAAACUCAGAUAUUCUUCCCAUGUGUUAGAACAGCCUAGCUUGAGUUUCUUCACGUGAAUCAUGCCCUGAUAAGUCAUAUAAAUGGUGUUUCUGAACAAAGUCUUUGUUGUUCACUUAUAGCCGUUGAAUGUGCAUACGCUAAGGAAAAAGACCCACUUGAAACAAGCCUUGUAAAGAAUGUAAUGUUUAAAUGUAAUGGGCACCUCCCUUCACUUAUCUUCUCCCUCAUAAUUUUUAUUGAGCCCUUACAGUGUGCCAAGCCCAGUGCAAAGCUCUUUAUGAUCCUAUGUUUUUCCUAAUCUCUAGAACAGCCAGGAAGGUCGAUACCAAGGCAAUCUUCUUUUACUAAUGAGAAAACUGAGGCUCAGAGAUGUUAAAAGAUUAGGCUAAGAGAAUACAACCAGCAGAGCCAGUAUCACGAAUGUUAUGGUGGUCUCCCCAGUAUCCAUUUCUUCUUCCCCAGGGGCACUUCUGGUUUUGGUGUGAUCAGCUCCAUCCUCAACUCCAUUGAGUGACUGUAAUUGAUUUAAAACAACUGCGGUAAUCCUAUUUCUUUUGGACAGUGGUUUUAUUGGAUAGCUCAGAUAAACCAGACCUCAGCUAAUCAGUGCAGGACAUUACCCUAGUCAAUCCGAUUGGCGGUGUGACAACUGGCGGAGAGCAGUUGUCCCUCUUUUUCUCCUGCUGGCCCCUAAUGAAAAAGCAGUUAGCCUCACUUGCUGCUGGAGCCAGCCUGAAGCUUUGAGAGGAAUCGGGGAAUCAGUCUGAGGAUGGAGCUGAAACAGCAGAGUAGAGAGAAAAGGAACUACUGGUGACAUUGAGCUGCUGAACAACCAACCUGGAAGCGUCCUCUGCCUCUGCUCCAAUAUCAGCUACUAACUUUUGGUGUUAAAGCUGUUUCACUUGUUUUUUCUGUUACUUGCAAUCAAAAGCAUUCUAAAUGACACAGCAAGAUUGAAACCCAGGCUUAUCUGACCCCCGUGUGAAACCUCAUGUCCUACUGCUUUCCACUUUCCUAGCUGAUGGUCUUAAACUCACAUCUUUAUCAGCAGGCAGUAGCACCACUGCUGAGUCAGCCAGUCUGCAGCAUUUUUGGGGCAGUUUGUUCUCUGGCUGGAAGAAUGAAGUUCAAGAGGUAACUGGUGGACAUCUAAGGGCACUCUUUCAAAUUGGUGACUGGAGAUCAUUAGAACAAGCUGAAGGCUAUUUCUAGAUAUAAAGUAAUGAAAACCUCUUCUUGGGAUCAAUCCAGCCAAGGAAGGCUGUGGAGUAGGGCAGAUUUCAAUGAGGACCAGAGAGAAUGAAAUGUGGGCUCCAGCAGCACCUUGCCCCACAUGUGCCUCAUGAUGCAAAUGC